AAUUCUUAUAUAUAAAAAUGAAUCGCUAAAAGUGUUGGUAAGCGCAUAACUCGAGAACGCGUGGACCAAUUUGGCCAAUUCUUUUUUUGUAAUAUUCGUCGAAGUUCAAGGAUGGUUUUUACGGCGAGAAAAUAUCAAAUAAUUGACGGAAAAGCCCUAAAAACAGCCCUUUUCUUUAUCCCAUACAAACGUUUUCUAACUAAUACGUAGAGUCAAUUUGAGCUUUAUUGCUAUUGGAUAAAGUUCAUAUUGGAUAAAUGCUAUUGGAUACUAAAAAACAAAUGCUAUUGGAUAAGUGUGCGUUGGAGACUUGGAGCACAGAAUCCCUACUAAUAUUAUAAAUGCGAAAGUAACUCUGUCUGUCUGUAAUUACGCUUUCACGCCUAAACCAGUGAACCGAUUUUGAUGAAAUUUGGUACUGAGAUAGAAUAGACCUUACUUGAUACUUUUUAUUGCAAAAAAAUAGCGGAGAAUGGGUAAAAAUAGGGGAUAAAUGGUCAUAUGGAAAUUCGUCAUUUUAAAAGCUGUAACAGUAAAACUUUGUAUUUAGAUACUUAAUGAGGAACGAAAGAACAUAGGCUACUUUUUAUUGCAAAAAAAUAGGAGAGAAUGGGUAAAAAUAGGGGAUGAAUGGUCAUAUGGAAAUUCGUCAUUUUUAAAGCUGUAACAGUGAAAUUUUGUAUUUAGACACUUAAUGAGGAGCGAAAGAACAUAGGCUACUUUUUAAUAAAAAGGGUAGAAGGCGUAGAAUGUUUGAUAGAGGAGAUUAAUGUUUGCUUGAAAAUUCGUCAUUUUCGUUAAUACGUUGCCUGUGGCUUCACUCGCGUUCGAUUCUUAUUUAAAUACACAUAUACUUAUUUAAAUCGCCAAUAUCCCUACUACCAUACUAAUGUUAUGAAUGCGAAAGUAACCCUGUUUGUGUUGAGGUUACGCUUGCACGAAUGUUUUUUUGGAAUAUAACAACGAAACAAUGUAUUUUUUUAUUGAUAGGCAAUAUAUAGGAAAUUAAAGGAUAAUAAUAUAGAUAACCUUGGCUACUUUUCAUCAUGAUUAUAAAAUGAUGAAUCGGCGGUCGUGGUUUCUAUGGAAUACAUAUCUUUAAAAAUGCUAACAGUAACAUAUUCUCAAGUAAUUCACAUUUUAGAUGACAUACGGCAGCAUUUUGACCACUAACACCACUACGCGGACGAAGUCGCGGGCAAAAGCUAGAUGUUUUCAAUAAAUUUCAUGUCAAAUAUUUGUUGUCCAUCCUGUCAAAUACUGUAAAUAAUGAUUGACAUUUAUGCAUAAACUAUUUGAAAAGGGUGAAUAAACAAUUGUCUGUAUUUUUUUUAAAUCUAUUGAAAAUGUUGAAAAGUGCAUUAAGCAUUAAUAGAAAUUCCUCAAAUAUUUAUGCGUGCGUUCAGAAAUAAUGACAAAUUAUCAACAGUUACGCGUGUGUUCAGAAAUUUAUUUUGUGUAAAUUAAAGUUUCUAUUCACGUUUUCGAACAAACGAUGCUCUUUCAAUAUAGUCUAUUGGUGUGAAUGACAUUGACAUUCGUAUUGCGCGUUUUUUAAAAUAUGCAAAAUUAAAUGUAUAUUUUUCAAUAUUUCUGAGAGAUUAUCUUAAUAUUUUUUCGAGUUUUAAAGACUAAGAAGAUUUUUAUUUGCUAAUAAGUGUUUGUUAAUCAAGGUAAGUUCACAUCUUCAUAUUGAUUUUUAGUAACUUUUGGUGACUACACAAUACUACAAUUUGGUAUACAUGGUUAUGCAGAAAAUGUAUGAGAGCUUUUUAUUUUCAGUUGGAAUUUCGUUUUUAACAAUGCUACCAACCAGACGUACAAGCUUAGGCCGCAGAACUCGAAAUACGGCAAGUCAAAGAAAUAUAAGAGCAAAUCAAACUGAUGAGCAACGCGAAGCGCGAAAUGAACUUGAACUGAAUCGAUAUCAAGAUAGAAAUGUUGUGUUUAAUCCCCACAAAGCUGCAUUCAGUUAUAAUGUGGCAAUUGAUUACAGUUCAGAGCAAAUUGUUGCUAUUGGACUAAUGAACAUUGUGUGUCCACAUUGGGAUUGAAAUUCAAAAAUGAAGCCUCUGGAUUGUGUUGCGCCAGCGGCCAAGUCAAAUUGACGCCAUUGGUACCGCCACCAGAGCCACUACAUUCAUUGGUUAAUUUUUUGACUCAUAUCCAGCAGUACAAUAAUUGCUUUCAAAUGACAUCAUUUGGGGCAACAAAAGUUAUACGAGACAAUUUUAUGCCUACUUUUAGUAAAUUCAGGGAUUCAAAUAUAUCAUCAAACAGGUUCCUUAUUGCCAGUGCCUGUUGAAGACUAUACAUUUUUGCAAAUAUAUUUUAUGGACAAUUCAGCAAGAGAAGUCGAUCAGCGUUGCGCACACAACAACUCAGUAAAAAGAUCCAUUGUGAUGAACAACUUCAAACAUUUUUCCAUCAACACAAUGAAUUAGUUGCAUUAUUCACAAAUGCAUUAGACCGCAUGCCAUCAGAUAAUCACAAAAUUGUCAUCAGAGCCGAUAAGGCGCCUGCAGGACAAAAUGCUGGACAUUUUAAUGUGCCAACAAUUGAUAAAGAGCGCGCGUGGUAUUUAGCUCAGUGUUUACUUAAAAAUGCCAAGUUCUUCAAUAGCGAUUUGUAAAAAUAUUAGUGAAAUUAUUGAAUCCUAUGGAAUAAACACUAUUAUGAAAAUA